rnacentral:rRNA from 1 species
GUAGGGGGCUAGCGUUGCUCGGAUUUACUGGGCGUAAAGAGCGCGUAGGCGGCCAGGUAAGUCCGGUGUGAAAGCCCUCGGCUCAACCGAGGAUCCGCAUCGGAAACUACCUGGCUUGAGUCCAGGAGAGGAGGGUGGAAUUCCCGAUGUAGCGGUGAAAUGCGUAGAUAUCGGGAGGAACACCUGUGGCGAAGGCGGCCCUCUGGAAUGGUACUGACGCUGAGGCGCGAAGGCUGGGGGAGCGAACGGGGAUUAGAUACCCCGGUAGUCCCAGCUGCAAACGAUGGGCACUAGGUGUGGGAGGUAUUGACCCCCUUCCGUGCCCGCAGCUAACGCAUUAAGUGCCCCCGCCUGGGGAGUACGGCCGCAAGGUUG